rnacentral:rRNA from 1 species
GACGAACGCUGGCGGCGUGCCUAAUACAUGCAAGUCGAACGAGAGCGACCGGUGCUUGCACUGGUCAAUCUAGUGGCGAACGGGUGAGUAACACGUGGGUAACCUGCCCAUCAGAGGGGGAUAACAUUCGGAAACGGAUGCUAAAACCGCAUAGGUCCUUUAACCGCAUGGUUGAAGGAGGAAAAGAGGCGCAAGCUUCUGCUGAUGGAUGGACCCGCGGUGCAUUAGCUAGUUGGUGAGGUAACGGCUCACCAAGGCCGUGAUGCAUAGCCGACCUGAGAGGGUGAUCGGCCACAUUGGGACUGAGACACGGCCCAAACUCCUACGGGAGGCAGCAGUAGGGAAUCUUCCGCAAUGGACGCAAGUCUGACGGAGCAACGCCGCGUGAGUGAAGAAGGUUUUCGGAUCGUAAAACUCUGUUGUUAGAGAAGAACAAGUGCUAGAGUAACUGUUAGCGCCUUGACGGUAUCUAACCAGAAAGCCACGGCUAACUACGUGCCAGCAGCCGUGGUAAUACGUAGGUGGCAAGCGUUGUCCGGAUUUAUUGGGCGUAAAGCGAGCGCAGGCGGUUCCUUAAGUCUGAUGUGAAAGCCCCCGGCUCAACCGGGGAGGGUCAUUGGAAACUGGGGAACUUGAGUGCAGAAGAGGAGAGUGGAAUUCCAUGUGUAGCGGUGAAAUGCGUAGAUAUAUGGAGGAACACCAGUGGCGAAGGCGACUCUCUGGUCUGUAACUGACGCUGAGGCUCGAAAGCGUGGGUAGCAAACAGG